rnacentral:rRNA from 1 species
UACGUAGGGGGCAAGCGUUGUCCGGAUUUAUUGGGCGUAAAGAGCGUGUAGGCGGCUUGGAAGGUCAGCUGUGAAAACUCGAGGCUCAACCUCGAGACGUCGGUUGAAACCACCUGGCUAGAGUCCGGAAGAGGAGAGUAGAAUUCCCGGUGUAGCGGUGAAAUGCGCAGAUAUCGGGAAGAACACCCGUGGCGAAGGCGGCUCUCUGGGACGGUACUGACGCUGAGACGCGAAAGCGUGGGGAGCGAACAGG